GAUAGAGGGUGCAAACGUUGUUCGGAAUUACUGGGCGUAAAGCGCGUGUAGGCGGCUGUGCAAGUCGGAUGUGAAAUCCCGUGGCUCAACCACGGAAGUGCACCCGAAACUGCGCAGCUGGAGUCUCGGAGAGGAAGGUGGAAUGCUUGGUGUAGAGGUGAAAUUCGUAGAUAUCAAGCGGAACACCGGUGGCGAAGGCGGCCUUCUGGACGAUGACUGACGCUGAGACGCGAAAGCGUGGGGAGCAAACAGG
rnacentral:rRNA from 1 species